rnacentral:sRNA from 1 species
UGACCCAAAGCUCUUCAGACAUCAUAAUAAACUGCGACUCUGCUUUAAAGAUUUUACUAAAAGGAAUUAAAAAACUUGGCCAGUGUGGUACCUUAUGCCU